ensembl:lncRNA
AAAAUGAUUUAAGUUUUUAAGAAAAAUGUAUCUAUAUAUUUAGAUAAAUUUGCUGUUAGUUUUUGCUCAAAACAAGCAAAAAUAAGACAAUGGAUUAAGAAAAAUUAUCGUAAUUCAAAGGUUAAAAAAGAAUAUUUUUCUUGCCCCAUUGGCAGAUUUUUUGGCUUGUUUUAAGCAAAAACUAACAAAAUUUACAUUUUUUUUUUUUUUUUCAGAAACCAAGACAUAAUAUCUCAAGUCAUUUUACUUGUAAAGCAAAUGCACCUUGAUUCAAGAAUUUUUAGAUAUUUAUACUAGAAACAAAAUACUAAGAAAUUUUUGUGCAGUGCAGUAGUACUCAACACUGAUUACUGUCCUUCAGUGUGUGUGUGUGUGUGUGUGUGUGUGUGUGUGUGUGUGUGUGUGUGUGUGUGUGUGUGUGUGUGUGUGAAAAUAUUAAAAUGUAACACCCUUUAUAAUCAUUAACAUUUUCACAUGUAACUAAUACAUUCACACUUUUUUUUGAGUAACUGUAACUGAUUACAGUUAUAUUUAUUUUGUAAUUAAAUUAGAUAACAGCGUUACAUGUAACUAGUUACACCCCAACACUGUCCGUGUGAACAUCAAACACAGAAAGAAGCAACCGAGCGCUCACAAUCACGUUACACUUCAUUUUGAUGAUCGCCUUUAUAGAUUCUGUUGACUAGAAGUAAUUUGCAACUACAUCAGCUAACUCUCAUUAGAGUAUUAGAGUAUUAGAAUGUCCAUCAAAAUAAAGUGUUAGCAGAUAUUAAGCAGACAGUUGAAAUGUCACUUAUAUCAUCAAAAUAAAGCAUUACCCGCAAUUAUAUAAUAGAAAGCUGCGUAUUACCAGAAGACACUCUGUCUUUGUCGUAACCGGUUUAGAUCACGUUAUAGAUACGGAUCAGUGGUUACAUGCAAAGCCUGUGGGACUUUAGGGAGCUGAUCUCUAUAUUGCAUGUUUCCCUUGCUCUAAUGAAGAGAGCAGAUCCGGUGUCCUUCCUGAAGGAAGUGUUUAUCUGUGGAUUUGGAACACUGUGCUCUCGGACAGCAUCAGCUCAGUAUCGUCAGAGCGCUCACAAGCGAGGAACACAAUCAGACAGUUCAGUCCUCGGUCUCUUGAGGAUCUCGUGGAGGGUUUGGACGAGCUCCAUCCAGCUAUCAGCUGAGAACAGACUCCCCGCGACCCGCAGACAAGAACUUCUCACAUCCCAAGACACGUGCAUCUCCUCAAACCUGCCAAGAACAUCCCCCAGAAUCAAAACUGAAACAGGCAGACUCUCCUGCAGCUCCUCUCUCCGUCAGCUUCAUUCUUCUGCUGAAUAAAAGCUGCUCUCGGGCCUUUAGCGGUGCGUGUGUUUCUUAUAAAUUCCCCAAUAACUUCACAUGGGCUUUGAUCUGAGAGAGAGCGAGAGAGACGGCAGGCAGGCGAGCGCGGUGUAGAUUAUGGCACACAAGAGAUUGUUUGAGUCUGUGAGCAGAAGAUGGAGGUCCUGAAGUGUGUGAUGAUGUGGACGUGAGCGUCGUACGGAAGUGAUUUCAUCCUUUCCAUUCCGUUCCGUCGACUGGACUCUGUAUUUGGACACAUUAAUUGAUGAAUUACAUGAAUGCCAUUAUUUACCAUUUGCUUGUUAGAGAACUAAUAAGAAUAAAUUAUGCUGAAAGCUGAAAUUUUCAUUCUUAAGUCCACUGACAUGACAAGCCAAAGGCAUGCUGGGAUAUGAUUACAGUGAGAUCUGCAAACUUCACUCACUGCUUCAUUAUGGUCAGAGGGAUAAUUAAAAUGAAUAAAGUAAACAAUUAAUAUUGAACAAAUAAAGUGAUGUUUAUGUCAGAUGGGUUCUUAUGAAUUAAUAGAAUAAAGACACUUCUUUCUCUCUCUCUGUGUGUGUGUGUGUGUGUGUCUAUACUGUAGCCUACUUUAGGAACACACACACACACACACACACAUAUAUAUAUAUAUAUAUAUACAUACACACACAUUUUAAAAUGUAAAGCGAUUUUGGUUUUUGGUUCUGUACUGUUUAUAUUUAGCUAUGUAAAAACUAUUUAAUUAUACUUCACUCCGACAUCAGCGCUUCACCUGUAUUUCUUAUUCAUAUUUCUACUUUUGCUGUUUUCCUCUGUUUGCUGCUUUAGUCUGAGAGGAUCUAAGCCUCUGAUCAAGAAGCAGUGACCUCGGAAUAUUACAUUAUCAUUCACAGUCACUGGACUUACUAAUCGAAUUAUAUCCAUUUUAAUAAUAAUU